rfam:Canis lupus familiaris chromosome 26, whole genome shotgun sequence.
CGGGGGAGGCCAGAUCCUGGGCUGUGUCCCGGCGCCCAGUGCUCCCAGGCCUGCACUUUUGGAUUCGCGCCCCUGGUGGUGCAGCUCCCU